rnacentral:rRNA from 1 species
GUGUCAGCAGCCGCGGUAAUACGUAGGGGGCGAGCGUUGUCCGGAUUUAUUGGGCGUAAAGAGCUCGUAGGCGGUUCGAUAAGUCGGACGUGAAAUCUCCACGCUCAACGUGGAGGGGCCGUUCGAUACUGUCGUGACUCGAGUCCGGUAGGGGAGUGUGGAAUUCCCGGUGUAGCGGUGAAAUGCGCAGAGAUCGGGAGGAACACCCGUAGCGAAGGCGGCACUCUGGGCCGGUACUGACGCUGAGGAGCGAAAGCGUGGGGAGCAAACAGGAUUAGAUACCCUGGUAGUCC